UGGUCUGUGUGAAAAAGAUAAAUCCUCCUUGAGUGUAAACACGCUACGUCAGAUUUCCUAUUUUCACUUUGUCCA
rnacentral:ncRNA from 1 species